rnacentral:rRNA from 1 species
GACGAACGCUGGCGGCGUGCUUAACACAUGCAAGUCGAACGGAAAGGCCCUGCUUUUGUGGGGUGCUCGAGUGGCGAACGGGUGAGUAACACGUGAGUAACCUGCCCUUGACUUUGGGAUAACUUCAGGAAACUGGGGCUCAUACCGGCUAGGAGCUCCUGCUGCAUGGUGGGGGUUGGAAAGUUUCGGCGGUUGGGGAUGGACUCGCGGCUUAUCAGCUUGUUGGUGGGGUAGUGGCUUACCAAGGCUUUGACGGGUAGCCGGCCUGAGAGGGUGACCGGCCACAUUGGGACUGAGAUACGGCCCAGACUCCUACGGGAGGCAGCAGUGGGGAAUAUUGCACAAUGGGCGGAAGCCUGAUGCAGCAACGCCGCGUGCGGGAUGACGGCCUUCGGGUUGUAAACCGCUUGCGCCUGCGACGAAGCGUGAGUGACGGUAAUGGGUAAAGAAGCACCGGCUAACUACGUG